CAAUAGCGUAUAUUAAAGUUGUUGCAGUUAGAACGCUCGUAGUCGGAUUUCGGGGCGGGUCGACCGGUCUGCCGAUGGGUACGCACUGGCCGACGCGUCCUUCCUUCCGGAGACCGUCCCUACUCUUAACUGAGCGGGGGCGGGAGACGGAACGUUUACUUUGAAAAAAUCAGAGUGUUUCAAGCAGGCAUCUCGCUCUUGCAUGGAUUAGCAUGGGAUAAUGAAAUAGGACUUUGGUGCUAUUUUGUUGGUUUCGAACACCGAAGUAAUGAUGAGAAGGGACAGUCAGGGGCACCCGUAUUCCGCCGAGAGAGGUGAAAUUCUCAGACCAGCGGAAGACGAACCACUGCGAAAGCAUUUGCCAGGGAUGUUUUCACUG
rnacentral:rRNA from 1 species